rnacentral:rRNA from 1 species
GCGACCCCAGGUCAGGCGGGACUACU